AAUGACAGAGAAGAAAAUAUCAGAUUGCAUAUUGAUCAUAUUGAUCAUAUUGUUUUAACAAGUUCCAAGCCAAUUCCCUCGUUCACCACUCCGUUCCAUUUCGCGCUAGUACAUGACUACUUUUGCCUUGUUAGUGCCCUAAAGGGCUAAAUUCAUGCUUGAUCCUUGAAAAUUGUUGAAGUUGGGUGCUGGUGUUAUGAUUAACUAUAAUUCCCAUUGAUAUUGGGAGGGUACUCCAUUAUCUUUGCUGGAAUGUUCUGAAUGAAGUGCCAUGCCUGCGAAAUGUUUGAUUGAUUGCCGCAGUGACCUUUGGCUUGUCGGGUGAAGUCUGAGUAGCCUACUCAUAAGUUUUGAUUGAACUUGUCUGUAGUGUAAGAGUAUUGGUGGGGCUUGCUCAUGGUCACCUUACUUAGUCAUAUGUUAGUGUCUCGUGUUUGUGCUUCUAGAGUUGACUGCUUGUUACGUGUGUCCUAGUAAUCUAAGUGCUGCUUUGCUCUCUGCUUAUUCUUUUGAGACAACAGUUCAGAACAUUUUGUUGGUGCUGGAUCUUAGGUUGUGAUUUGAAACGGUGUCGCUCUCGUUUGAGCUCCUACCUUGGAAAUAUAGUGUUGUGAGUGUGUCCUUCAUACCUGACUGCCAUUUCCUUGAUAUAUAUAUACACACACACAUGUUUGAUAUGCUUAAUUACAUACGUGCGAGGUGGCGCUUGUUGAAUCAAGUAGGAAGCUUGUGGUAGUUUGUGUUAUGGUUAAGUUAUAUUACCUGCCAUUAAGUAUUUUUUUUUUGCUGUUUUAGGUAUUUCACUGCUUGAUACGGUUAAAAAUUGAUUGGAUAGGAAGAAGGUUGAAUACUCGUCAAUCUUAUUUAUCUUAACUUGCAUGUGUAAAUAAUCAUGUGCUAUGGCUCCACUGUCCAUGCAAUAAUGUUUACUAUCCUUAAGUUGGUGCAAAUGAAUUUGUUAAUAUAUGAUAGAGCCGUGUUUGUCUAGAAGAGGGAAGUCUGAGUACCGCUUGACAGAAUUUUACUCCAGCUGAUUUAUGGUUGUUAGUGCUCUUAUGUGCUUGAUCUUGUGCUUUUCUGUGUAAUUACUAGAGUAGUUUGGGACUCGAAAAUCAAUUACUGUCAUAUGUGCUUAAGUGCGUG
rnacentral:lncRNA from 1 species